ACCCCCGAUCAGAGCUCCGCUCCGCGAACGGUUUCUUCCCGGCAUCCUCCUCCCGAGACGCCCCGCCCCCAAGUCCCCGCGGUGCCUGGAGUAAGGACCCCACCUUGCUAACCACAGUUGUCUGUGGUGGGCUUUGGCACAAGGACCCUGGACUGGGACCCUGGGCUCGGUAACGGUGGGCCCAUCUGAGGCCCCUGUGCCUCUGUCUGUCCGAGGAGCCACCUGUCCUUGAAUGGGAAACAGACCCUGCAAGAGGUCCCUUCUGGUUCUUAAGUUUCUUUCACAUCUCUGCUCCCGAACUUAAGUUGUGAACAUUGAACUUGACCUCACUUCAAUAAAUGUGCCUGCUGGGGGUUUCCCUGGUGGCUCAGUGGUUAAGAAUCUGCCUGCCACUGCAGGGGACAUGGGUUCAAGCCCUGGUCCAGGAAGAUCCCACAUGCCGCAGAGCAACUAAGCCCAUGCACCCCAACUACUGAGUCUGUGCUGUAGAGCCUGCGAGCCACAACUACUGAAACCUGUGCGCCUAGAGCCCGUGCUCCACAACAAGAGAAGCCUGCAGACCGCAACGAAGAGUAGCUCCCACUCGCCGCAACUAGAGAAAGCCCACGCACAGCAACAAAGACCCAACACGGCCAAAAAUAAAUAAAUAAUUAAAAAAAUAAAGUGAUGGAAAAAUUGUCAACCAAGAAUUCUAUAUCCAGCAAAACUGACCUUCAAAAAUGUGGGAGAAUUUAAGGCAUUCACAGAUAAACAAUAGCUGAGGGAGUUCAUCACCACCAGACCUGGCCUACGGGAAAUGCUCAAGGUAGCCCUUCAGAUUUAAAUGAAAGGACGUUAGUACCUCAAAGCCAUAGGGAGAAAUAAAGAUCUGUGGUAAAGGCAAAACCAUGGGCAAGUAUAAGAACCAGUA